CUGAGGGCUAACCUGAGUCAGUCAGUAACAGGCUGCCAGUAACCUGCCCAAAGAGGAGGACCAGAAGCUAACUGAGGUAUUCAUAGACUGCAAUCAAAUCCUCCCUUAACCUUCUGUUUGUUAAGCAAACUACAUUGAGCUCAUGAGAAGGAACACUAAGGAGCGACACAUGACUAAUCAUUUGCAAUGCUCUUUACUGGACUCCAAAAUGAUGCAAAACGGGGAAAAAGCAAAUGGUGGAGACAUAAUACAGAGAACCCUGAGUUACUUCACAUACUAUGGAAUUGGAUAAAGCUACACACAACUGGGAAAAUAGACAAUAGGUUCUGAAAGAACUGUGGGGACAGAAUGGAAAUGUUCCUUUGGAUCCUCCGAUGGCUUUGCUGGGAAUCGCUUGGGAAGGGCUUUCUAUUUUGUCUGUCUUGGA